UACAGAGACUAGGGUGUGUGAACAAUGCAUCAACUGUAGAGUCACUUACAACAACAUCUCACCUGAAAGACACAAGGAGGUUAAGCAACUUGCUCAGGGUCACACAAUGAGUCAGUGGCUCAGUUGAAGCUGUCGGCUUCAAUCAGGCAAGGGAUCUGAUCUGGACAGGAACAGGGAUUCCAGCGCAGUCCAGUACAAUUGACGACGGGCCGAUUUACAGACGAGUAGCGAUUGGGAAGCUGCAGCCAAGGAGCCAGCACACAAAUCCCGGAACACCACUACCUCUGCACAGCAC